GUAGGUGGCAAGCGUUGUCCGGGAAUUAUUGGGGCGUAAAGCGCGCGCAGGCGGUUCUUUAAGUCUGAUGUGAAAGCCCACGGGCUCAACCGUGGAGGGUCAUUGGAAACUGGAGAGCUUGAGUACAGAAGAGGAAAGCGGAAUUCCACGUGUAGCGGUGAAAUGCGUAGAGAUGUGGAGGAACACCAGUGGCGAAGGCGGCUUUCUGGUCUGUAACUGACGCUGAGGCGCGAAAGCGUGGGGAGCAAACAGGAUUAGAUACCCUGGUAGUCCACGCCGUAAACGAUGAGUGCUAAGUGUUAGGGGGUUUCCGCCCCUUAGUGCUGCAGCUAACGCAUUAAGCACUCCGCCUGGGGAGUACGGCCGCAAGGCUG
rnacentral:rRNA from 1 species